AGAGUUUGAUCCUGGCUCAGCCUGAACGCUGGCGGCGUGGCUAAGACAUGCAAGUCGUACGGAGGUAGCAAUACCUCAGUGGCGAACGGGUGAGUAAUGUAUCGCUAACGUGCCCCGGACUCUGGGAUAGCUACUCGAAAGGGUAGGUAAUACCAGAUGACAUGGCGUGGUCGCAUGACCGUGCCCUCAAAGGUCCGCUG
rnacentral:rRNA from 1 species